GCGGGCGUAGCAAUACGUCAGCGGCAGACGGGUGAGUAACGCGUGGGAACGUACCUUUUGGUUCGGAACAACACAGGGAAACUUGUGCUAAUACCGGAUAAGCCCUUACGGGGAAAGAUUUAUCGCCGAAAGAUCGGCCCGCGUCUGAUUAGCUAGUUGGUAGGGUAAUGGCCUACCAAGGCGACGAUCAGUAGCUGGUCUGAGAGGAUGAUCAGCCACAUUGGGACUGAGACACGGCCCAAACUCAAAC
rnacentral:rRNA from 1 species